rnacentral:rRNA from 1 species
CCUACGGGAGGCUGCAGUGGGGAAUAUUGGACAACGGGGGCAACCCUGAUCCAGCCAUGCCGCGUGUGUGAAGAAGGCCCUCGGGUUGUAAAGCACUUUCAGUGAGGAAGAACGCCUGGUGGUUAAUACCCAUCAGGAAAGACAUCACUCACAGAAGAAGCACCGGCUAACUCCGUGCCAGCAGCCGCGGUAAUACGGAGGGUGCGAGCGUUAAUCGGAAUUACUGGGCGUAAAGCGCGCGUAGGUGGCUUGAUAAGCCGGUUGUGAAAGCCCCGGGCUCAACCUGGGAACGGCAUCCGGAACUGUCAAGCUAGAGUGCAGGAGAGGAAGGUAGAAUUCCCGGUGUAGCGGUGAAAUGCGUAGAGAUCGGGAGGAAUACCAGUGGCGAAGGCGGCCUUCUGGACUGACACUGACACUGAGGUGCGAAAGCGUGGGUAGCAAACAGGAUUAGAUACCCUUGUAGUC